UAAAAAUUUAAUUUAAAAAUAUUUAAGUAGUAUUAGUUAAGAUCUUGAAAUUUAAAAAAUUUGGCGGUAUUUUAGUCUAUUCAGAGGAACUUGUUUUUUAAUCGAUAAUACCCGAUGUAUCUUACUUAAUUUUGUUUUUUAUAGUUUAUGUAUUGUCGUUUAGAUUAUUUUAUAAAAAUAAUAAUUUUCUUAAUUUUUUAUUUAAAAUAUAUCAGAUCAAAAUAUAGCUUAUAAUUAAGUUUAUAAUGAGUUACAAUUAAUUUAUUAUUGGAUAUAAAUUUUUAAUUAUUUAUUGAAAUUGGAUUUGAUAGUAAAUUUAUAUAGAUUAAUAUAUUGAUUAUAGCUCUAAAAUAUG
rnacentral:rRNA from 1 species